GGAGCCACUUCAGAGACUCGGAAAAUGUUUACCUAUACUUCUUUUCAGGUGAAGCCCAGGUUGCUAGAACGUUGUUGGCAAGUCGUCGCGUCGUGAUCGUCGUUGUUGGUCGGUCGUCUGUCUAGCUGCUGUUGUCGUAUCGGUUAAAAUAUAAGACAUUCGCAUUGAACUUGCUCAGUUUAAGUCGAAUCGCGAAACAAAACCUGGCUCUCUCCCAAGUACUCAUUUAUCAAGCUUUAAAAUUAUUUAUCUUGACUUGCACGUGCUGAAGCCAAUCGGGUUAAAAAAAAGGUGUCUUUCGUUAAGUAAAGAGAUCUAUUUUGAAAUGUCAAAAUAAUGACAAUAUACAGCGUUAUCGUUCAAAUAAUUCUUAUUUGUCACUGAAAAAUCCAACGGAAAAAUAGGAAACAUCGAAAUGACAUCUGACACUUUGUUGUUGAAACUUCAAAAUAACUUCAAUGAAGAUGACGGCAACGAUGAGGAAAUCAUUACCAAGAUUCCAUCGAUUGUGGCUUUCUUAAUGUUGGAUUGAAGUACUGUAAACAUAUCAAAAGCAAGAAAAUACUAUGUGAUUUUCUUAUUUGAAGUCUGAAGAAUUAAAAUGUAUUUUUGAUAAGUUUAAGUAUAUAAAUUUAGUUUUGUAAAUAUUCUGUUUUUAAUAAACAUAAAAGUGUAAAUACAAAAAAAUGUAAAA